AGUGAACGCUGGCGGUAGGCCUAACACAUGCAAGUCGAACGGCAGCACAGGAGAGCUUGCUCUCUGGGUGGCGAGUGGCGGACGGGUGAGGAAUACAUCGGAAUCUACUUUUUCGUGGGGGAUAACGUAGGGAAACUUACGCUAAUACCGCAUACGACCUACGGGUGAAAGCAGGGGACCUUCGGGCCUUGCGCUAUUGAAUGAGCCGAUGUCGGAUUAGCUAGUUGGCGGGGUAAAGGCCGACCAAGGCGACGAUCCGUAGCUGGUCUGAGAGGAUGAUCAGCCACACUGGAACUGAGACACGGUCCAGACUCCUACGGGAGGCAGCAGUGGGGAAUAUUGGACAAUGGGCGCAAGCCUGACCCAGCCAUACCGCGUGGGUGUAGAAGGCCUUCGGGUUGUAAAGCCCUUUUGUUGGGAAAGAAAUCCAGCUGGCUAAUACCCGGUUGGGAUGACGGUACCCAAAGAAUAAGCACCGGCUAACUUCGUGCCAGCCGCCGCCGUAA
rnacentral:rRNA from 1 species